UACGUAGGGUGCAAGCGUUGUCCGGAAUUAUUGGGCGUAAAGAGCUCGUAGGCGGUUUGUCGCGUCUGCUGUGAAAACCCGAGGCUCAACCUCGGGCCUGCAGUGGGUACGGGCAGACUAGAGUGGCGGUAGGGGAGAUUGGAAUUCCUGGUGUAGCGGUGGAAUGCGCAGAUAUCAGGAGGAACACCGAUGGCGAAGGCAGAUCUCUGGGCCGUAACUGACGCUGAGGAGCGAAAGCAUGGGGAGCGAACAGG
rnacentral:rRNA from 1 species